rnacentral:rRNA from 1 species
CGGUGAAUACGUUCCCGGGCCUUGUACACACCGCCCGUCAAGCCAUGGAAGUUGGGGUACCUAAAGUCGGUCACCGCAAGGAGCCGCCUAGGGUAAAACCAAUGACUCGGGGCU